CUCUUGGCCUGACCUCCUCACAUCCUCAAGUUACUUUCCUUGAGGGAAAGGUAGCCAAAAACACUGUGAAACUAUCCUGCCUUAAAAAGGUUCUCAAUCCUUAACCAAUUACUUUUCCUAUCAUUACCAUCAACACUCAACCCUUAACCAGUUCUGGGCUGAAUAUUCACAAGGAAUCUACGAUCUAGAAUAGCCUUCAUAAGACCACACCAAUCAUGUCAAGUCACUGUGUAUAAAAAAUAUGUAUAAGAAAGAGAGCGGUUAAAAAAUCUAUAGAUAUUUAUGAGUCUCUCUGAUGUGCUGGUGGCUGUGAAAUGCAAGAACAUGAAAGAUUCAGCUGCCUGGACCUGGGAAGGAACUUACAAUAUCCCGCUGAGAAAAUCAGACACGUGACCAGCUGCUGCUUAGAGAAACUGUGAGGUGGCGUAGAAAUCAUUCAGUAUAAUGUGCAGGUCCUUCCUAGAGAUUUAAGACCACUACUGAACAACAACAACAACAAUGAUGACAACAACAACAACAACAACAAAACACUCUGUCACAGAGGGGUAAAAGCUUGCUUCGUUGCCAUACAAGAUAUCCUAUAUCUAAUAUCGUCAAAUCCUAUUUGAA